AAACCAUAAAAAUAAAAUAGCGAAUUUUUUAUAUAAAGGAAAACUAUUUCUUGAUAAGAAUUUCUUUUCAAAAAACUCCCUUAAUUAAUCAAACAAAUAAACAUCUUUUCUUCUUAAUA
rnacentral:snRNA from 1 species